GGAAGUAAAAAUCGUAACAAGGUUUCCGUAGGUGAACCUGCGGAAGGAUCAUUAUUGUAUAACCGAGGUGCGAGGGCUGUCGCUGACCCGAAAGGUCGUGCACGCCCGAGUGCCCUCACACACAUCCAUCUCACCCCUAUGUGCACCACCGCGUGGGUCCCCCCUUUGGCUUGUUCGGAGGGGGGCUUACGUUUUCACACAAACUUUGUAUGCAGUGUAGAAUGUAUUUUCUGUUUUUGCGAUCACGCAAUCAAUACAACUUUCAACAACGGAUCUCUUGGCUCUC
rnacentral:misc_RNA from 1 species